GGCCUUUUAUCCCGGUUUGUAUAUUACAAACCGGGAUAAAAGGGGGUCUUUUAUCCCGGUUGGUGUUUCAAACCGGGAUAAAAGGGUCCCCAACGGGGUGGCUGAAGGAGGACUAAAUCCCUCGAACCCUUUUAUCCCGGUUUGUAUACCAACCGGGAUAAAAGGGGGUCUUU
rnacentral:ncRNA from 1 species